GGUUAGGUAACAUAAUGGUAAUGUAUCAGAUUGCAAAUCUUAAAACGGCGGUUCGAUUCCGCCUCUAACCU
rnacentral:tRNA from 1 species